GGCCAGACUCCUACGGGAGGCAGCAGUGAGGAAUAUUGGUCAAUGGCCGGAAGGCUGAACCAGCCAAGCCGCGUGAAGGACGAAGGUGCCAAGCAUUGUAAACUUCUUUUGUCAAGGGACAAAAUCAGGCUCGAGAGCCUGACCGAGGGUACUUGAAGAAAAAGCAUCGGCUAACUCCGUGCCAGCAGCCGCGGUAAUACGUAGGGGGCAAGCGUUAUCCGGAUUUACUGGGUGUAAAGGGAGCGUAGACGGUGAUGCAAGUCAGAAGUGAAAGCCCGGGGCUCAACUCCGGGACUGCUUUUGAAACUGUGUGACUGGAGUGCAGGAGAGGUAAGCGGAAUUCCUGGUGUAGCGGUGAAAUGCGUAGAUAUCAGGAGGAACACCAGUGGCGAAGGCGGCUUACUGGACUGUAACUGACGUUGAGGCUCGAAAGCGUGGGGAGCAAACAGGAUUAGAUACCCUGGUAGC
rnacentral:rRNA from 1 species